ACCUUGAGAAGAGCACAAAAGCCUGAUGCCUGGAUCCCUCCUGGGGCCACUAGGAGGAAAGUAUGUGCUCAUACCGACAUACACAUGUGCCGGAGCUGAAGGCACACCCCCUUGAAUUGCACACAUAGGAUCAGAGGCUUACAGAAUGGGCUGGCACUCACACACAGGGCACACACAGGGACACACAGACUUGCCCAGACAACACACACACACAGGCAUGCACAGACGCAUGUGUCCAAGCCAAGAGGCACACCCUCCCCCUGCCAAAGAAAUACACAGACAAGACCAAAGGUACGCAGAUAUCGCACAAAGGGACACCCAGAGAUGAGCAAACCCACGACACGACACAUGCACGCACAGAGGGAUGAGCACUCGCCCACAGACACACGCUACAGAAACAUCCAAACACCCACAGCGGGGCUCCUCCUAUCCUUGAGGGGUGGCAUGCUGCUAGGGAAGGGGAAAGAAAGCUGCACUUGGGUGGGUAGUCAGAGCCACAAUCGCCUUGACCCCUACAAGUAUCCCUAAGCCUCUGAUCUGGGGAUGCCCCCACCACCUGCCUCAUAUGUACCCCAAGUUUUGCAUAAUACCUCCUCAAUCUGGGUCCUUUCGAUACCUAGAGAUCUCCCAUCUCUAGCCCCCAAACAGCUAUUUCACUUAGCCUUGAAGAACCCCACAAAAGUGUCUGGAACCCGCCAGCUCUGACACCCCACAAUGGGAGGGAUGUUCCUUGGCCUCUCAUGGGUGUCUAAGGAUAUGGGGGGGCAGGUCUUCCUCUUUCUGCAUUUGACUUAAGUCUUUUCUUCUGUUUUCCUACUUUUUCCUGCUUCCAUUUUCUUCAACUCCCUUCCCACAGUUCCAAUACCCAUGUCUCCACCAUCUCUGCAUUCAAACUCUUCCUUCUCUCUUGCCCUACCCCCUCCUCCACAAGGAGCCUCCAAGGUCAACUGCAGGCCGGGGGAGAUGCUGAGAUGUUUCCUGUCCUUGCCCAUUCCCCCCAUGUUCUAAUCUGACUGUUCCAAACCCAGUCUCUGUCUCCUGAGUAGAUGCUGAGCUCAGCUGCUGGACAAGAAAACAGCAUAGGACAGAGUCACAGCCACCUCCAGGGUCCCUGAAAUCUGCAGUCAUGCCUCUCACUUGUACCUCCUUUGGAUCCUCUGCUUUUCCUUCUGGAAAAUGGGACGGCAAAGAGGAAAGCAUGUCAGAGCCUUCGGCACCAGCAGAGUCAUUUUGAGGAAAUCAUCUUAAACAUCAGAAAAAGCUCUCUGAACAAAACACAUCCACUACAUCACUCAUCAAGAACAUGCAGAACAGUGAACAAAAGGGGAAUAUUAAGUAAAUUAUGGUACAUCCACUUGACUGGAAAAGCCUGGAGACAUUAGCUGCCAUGUUUAUGAAGCACUGGUUACAAAACAGGAAAAGGCUGGCGUUGUCACCAGCAAAAAAAAAAAAAAAAAAAAAAAAAAAG